rnacentral:tRNA from 2 species
GGCCGCCUGGCGAAAUGGCAUCGCGUCUGACUACGAUGAUAGUUGUAAUCAGGAGAUUGCAGGUUCGACCCCUGCGGUGGUCA